rnacentral:tRNA from 1 species
UGUCGUAUGGUGUAAUGGUAGCACCUCAGAAUUUGACUCUGAUAGCGAAGGUUCGAUCCCUUCUACGACUU